AUCCGCCAGCACUUACCUUUUAUUUUCAGGGUUUCCCAGCGUUUUGUUUUAUCCCGGGGUGUAUUUAGUUUUUCUCGGUUUUCUUUAGUUUCCCCCGAUCGCUUUUGUUCUUGGUGGUGUUUUGCGUUUGUUUUCCCGUUUUGCUCCCUGCUCCCCCUAGCGGCCUGGAGCGGUACUGUUUUCGGAGGUUGCUGCGGUAACCAGCCAAUAGAUCGCUGGAGGGCGGACUCCACACACACCUGCGCCUCAUUCCUCAUCUCAUCAACUCCUGCAUUUAUACGCCGGCUUUUCCUGCAUUCCUCGCCAGAUUGUCUGCUCACCAUACGACCUUCCCCCCCGCUCCUGGUUCCGCCGCUCCUGGUUCUCCUGCGUUCCUACGGCUUCCUGUUUUCUGGUCCCACCGUUCCUGGUCUUCCUGCGUUCCUGCAUCCGUUCUCCACCUACAUCCUGCACUCCGGUUCCUCUACUCAUCGUUCGUUCCCUGCAUCCCGGUUCAUCGCUCCUGGUCACCUGUCCGCCCUGCAGUUUCCCGGCGCUACCAGUACCGCUCCUGCCGCCCCCCUCUCGUUUUGGUUUUCCUUUUGGUUGUUUGUUUUGGUCCUCAUUUAUAUUGUUUAAUAAAGUCCUUGUGUUAUUA